rnacentral:lncRNA from 1 species
GGAAACGGAAAAGAAAAUUGCAGUAGCUGCAUAAUCACUUAAGAGGUCGAGGUCUUGGAAACAAUUCAAUCACUCGAAGAUAGAUGUUUCAUGUAGCAACAAGACUCUGCUAUUGAUUGAUUAAACGGAACCGUGCUCCAUUCCUAUCUUCAGCAACAACAAAAAAAAAAAUUAACAACAUUUUCUUUCAUUAUUAUUUUUAAGGUUAGAUAGAGAGCAUCCCGUCUCCUUACCUGCUUAUUACUAUUGACGGUCUGAUUUCUGUGCUUCUGGUUUUCUUCACUCUUCUUCUUCACUUGUUAUGGCCCCCAA